rnacentral:rRNA from 1 species
AGAGUUUGAUUCUGGCUCAGGACGAACGCUGGCGGCGUGCCUAACACAUGCAAGUCGAACGGAGUAGAGAGCUUCGGCUUUCUGCUUAGUGGCGAACGGGUGAGUAACGCGUGAGGAACCUGCCUUUCAGUGGGGGACAACAGCUGGAAACGACUGCUAAUACCGCAUAAUGUUGUCGGACCGCAUGAUCUGACAACCAAAGAUUUAUUGCUGAAAGAUGGCCUCGCGUCUGAUUAGCUAGUUGGCGGGGUAACGGCUCACCAAGGCGACGAUGAUUAGGGGUUCUGAGAGGAUGGUCCCCCACACUGGAACUGAGACACGGUCCAGACUCCUACGGGAGGCAGCAGUAGGGAAUAUUGGGCAAUGGAAGCAAUUCUGACCCAGCCAUGCCGCGUGCAGGAAGAAGGCCCUAUGGGUUUUAAACUGCUUUUGUCACAGAGUAACCGUCGGGACGUGUCCCGGCCUGAGAGUAUGUGACGAAUAAGUAUCGGCUAACUCCGUGCCAGCAGCCGCGGUAAUACGGAGGAUACAAGCGUUAUCCGGAUUUAUUGGGUUUAAAGGGUGCGCAGGCGGACCGGUAAGUCAGGGGUGAAAUACUGCAGCUCAACUGCAGCCGUGCCUUUGAUACUGCCGGACUAGAGUCCAAGGGACGUGACUGGAAUGUGAUGUGUAGCGGUGAAAUGCUUAGAUAUGUCACAGAACGCCGAUCGUGAAGACAGGUCACGAACUUGGCACUGACGCUCAGGCACGAAAGCGUGGGUAUCAAACAGGAUUAGAUACCCUGGUAGUCCACGCCGUAAACGAUGAACACUCGUUGUCGGGCAGCGAUGCUCGGUGGCCAAGCGAAAGCGAUAAGUGUUCCACCUGGGGAGUACGAUCGCAAGGUUGAAACACAAAGGAAUUGACGGGGGCCCGCACAAGCGGAGGAGCAUGUGGUUUAAUUCGAUGAUACGCGAGGAACCUUACCCGGGCUUGAAGGUAAGACGAAGAUGCGAGAGAUCGCAUCGCCUACGGGCGUCUUGCUAGGUGCUGCAUGGUUGUCGUCAGCUCGUGCCGUGAGGUGUUAGGUUAAGUCCUGCAACGAGCGCAACCCUUACACGUAGUUGCCAGCACGUAAUGGUGGGGACUCUACGGGAACUGCCUACGCAAGUAGAGAGGAAGGUGGGGAUGACGUCAAAUUAGCACGGCCCUUAUAUCCGGGGCUACACACGUGCUACAAUGGGCCAUACAGAGGGCAGCUACCCCGCGAGGGGAUGCAAAUCUUCAAAGUGGUUCUCAGUUCGGAUUGGAGUCUGUAACUCGACUCUAUGAAGUUGGAUUCGCUAGUAAUCGCGCAUCAGCCAUGGCGCGGUGAAUACGUUCCCGGGCCUUGCACACACCGCCCGUCAAG